CUAAAAUCUGAAUCGGUGGGAAUCAAAUUAAAUCUAAGAUAAUUUUUACAAAAAAGCCCAAACUGAAAAAAUGUAUAUUCACAGUUCACACUUUAGUGUGUAACUAGUUGAUAAAGUCGGAGGUAAGACAUUAAUACAGUAUUAAUCAAAACUAGUCCCCUUUUGGUUUUACCUGUAUGUUUGCACAACAAUAAAAAUAAAUGUCAUCAUAGAUUUGUAUUAUUAUGUAAAAGUCUGUGCAUGUGUGGAUAUUCAUAUGCCAAAAUCACUCAUGUUCAAGAGAAUACAUUACAUUUACAGAAUGUAUUUUAUAUUCAAG